UGUCAGACGGGACAUUUGAGUCUGCAGAGGUUACUGCUGUCUUUUUGUUUGUCUGUGCCCUGCCCCCCAGAGGUGGAGCCUAUAGAGGCAGGCAGGCCUCCGUGAGCUGUGGUGGGCUCCACCCAGUUCGAGCUUCCCGGCUGCUUUGUUUACCUAAGCAAGCCUGGGCAAUGGUGGGCCCCCCUCCCCCAGCCUCGCUGCUGCCUUGCAGUUUGAUCUCAGACUGCUGUGCUAGCAAUCAGUGAGAUUCCGUGGGUGUAGGACCCUCCGAGCCAGGUGCGGGAUAUAAUCUCGUGGUGCGCCAUUUUUUAAGCCUGUCGGAAAAGCGCAGUAUUCAGGUGGGAGUGACCCGAUUUUCCAGGUGCCGUCCAUCACCCCUUUCUUUGACUAGGAAAGGGAACUCCCUAACCCCUUGUGCUUCCUGAGGCAAUGCCUCGCCCUGCUUUGGCUCGCGCAUGGUGCGCGCACCCACUGACCGGCACUCCCUAGUGAGAUGAACCCGGUACCUCAGAUGGAAAUGCCGAAAUCACCCGUCUUCUGUGUCGCUCAUGCUGGGAGCUGUAGACGGGAGCUGUUCCUAUUCGGCCAUCUUGGCUCUUCCCCCCCAGGCACAGUACUUUCUAAAGGCACCUUGAAGCCUAAAAGAGCCCUUCUUAUACUCUGAGGUAUCUCACCGCUGAAACUGGUUACAUACAUCUGUAUUGGGAAUUAAUGGAUAAGGGUGGAACAAAUGAAAUGCAUUUCUGGGGGCCAGAUAUUCCAAAGCAGUUUGGGGUAGCCUUCUUCCUCCUCCUCUGCAAUGCUUUGUUAGUUGGAGGCUGUAAACAUGCCGACGCUUUCCCAAAUUUGUGGGAAUGAAUGUGAAUCACAGUUUUUGGGGCUUCAAUCUCCUCUGCGGACACAUAAAAAGGAACUUUCAUCAAUUUCUAACAAGGUUUGAGAUCUAUGCCUGGAUAGAGCUGGAUAUUGAUGCAAAAGUAAGAAGCAAAAGAUGAUUUCCUUGAGUUCCAGCAAUUUCAAUAAAAAACACAGAGACCAGACUUGCAACAACACUAUAGUGUCAAAGAGCUGGUUCCCAAAGGGGAGCAUAGAGUCCACCCAUACCAGAGACACAUACCAGAGACAGACGAGAUCUAACACUUUUUGAGUUUAAUAUUUUUGAGUUUAAUAUUAAUGUUGCAGCAUGGUAAUGAAAACUAGUAAAAGAAUCUCUCUUGGUAAAUGAAUCUUCACUCCCAAACGGCAAGCAGGAAAAACCCUAAAUAAAUAAUGUGAGAUUGAUAUCAGAGGCCCAUGUGCAGGGACUCGAUUACAAUUCUUGGCUUGUACUCAGGGGCCCUCAUGCAUUUUUUAAGAGAUCAUCAAUAUUGUGAUCCUUCUGCUUGCUGGUGAACUUUAAAAACUACACCGAGGUAUAAAAGUAGGGCUUUGACUUUGUUGAGGCUCAUGAUUCUUCUCAAAUAAAGUAGAUCUGAAUAAAAGAGGGAUUGGAAAAUCUUCCCUGGCCUUUAGGCAAGCACAGAACUUAGCAGUGGUUUUGGAGCAUCCACUAUGGAACGAUCCAUGAGAUCCAAAGAUAGAUACAGUUCCCACACAACAGCCACGAGGAACCACGCAUUGGGGACCACCUGAAGCAGAACCCUGGCUGGGGGCUUGCCCUUGUUCUGCCAUGAAGCUGACAGAGCUGUUUCUACGACAAUGUGCAUCUUGAAUCAUCCCACAGAAGGAGCUGAGUUAGGCUGGAAAUGAGAGAAUUCCAGACAGAGGGAAGGUAUAUUUGUGGAGUUGUAGGAGGCCAGAAAGUUGAAGGCUGGAGACCAGGGGUCAAGGCUGGAGGCUAGAGACCAGGAGUCAAGGCAAGGAAGACAUGGCUGACCCCUCAGACGCUAGUAAGUCUCUACCGUGAGAGCAGCAGGAAGCCAUGGAAGGGGGUUAAACAGAAGAAGGUUGACUCUUACUGGAAAUGAUGGCUUGUUUCCCCUUUCUGGUUUGGGAUACAGGAUGCCUUAGGCCCUGGUGCCAGCAGAGUGUACAGGAGGCCACACUGGAAGACGAUGGUCUUUGCUGUCUUCUUACCUUUCUGUAUGCUCCCUGGGCCUUCAUGUGGCUUUAGCUUCUCACAAGGCCUCACUGGGCUGUGUGUGUGUGUGUUUGUGUGCGUGCAUGUGUGUAGGUGGUGACUGACGGUCUUCUAUGAGCUGGGCUUUGUAUUAUUCUUGACCUUCUCAAGAUUUGCCUGUCUCAUGUCUUCAGAACCCAUUGCCUGCAGUCUUUGAUACACACUAUUCUGAUAAAUGAAUGAGACUGUGAGGAGUGUUAAUUUAAGAUAUUAACCCUUUUAUGUCUUAGGGUAAUACCCAGUGUCUUUUUACUCAGGAGAUAUUCAAUCAGUAGGGAUUCAAUACAUGAGUGUCGUAUAUUUGUGUUUUAACCGGGUCUGUCUGAGAUGCAGUGAAUGUUCAGUUAGCCUGGGCAGCCUUCUUUCUUGUCGUCUGCAGCGCUGGAAUCUGGGAGCUUCCUUCUGGUCACUCAGCAGGGACAACGAGGCCUCUACCCCCACAUCACUGUUCUCUCAGGUACAUGCCUCCCCCAUCACUUUCCACCUCUCGAGGAACUGGCGCAGCCCAGGAUUUCGCAAUGAUUAGAACUGAACCCCAAUAAGCUACCCAAGAAAAACAGUGAGCCUUUUAAGGGGCUCAGAAGUCAGAGAAAAGAAUCAGAACACAGGGAAUACAUGUUCUGGAACAAGAGGACACAAACACCAGCUUAGCAACUGCAGCAAGUACAAUGAACCAGCCAGACCACCGGACAAGGUCAGAGUGAUGUGAUGUGCAGAACAGAGGAGGAAGAUGCAAGCCCCGAGGCUUGGCACCCCAGCUGCCUGAGCCAAGUCCUCAGGCAGUGAGGGAGAUAUAGAGCCAACAUGACAGAUACCCAGACUUCAGAGAGGGAAAACAGCAUGGUCAAAAUGACAACUGAGAAUACGGUGGCCAGCCUUGGUCAGAAUAGUGCUGACCUGUGCAGAGAUGCAGGAACUGAAGCUGAGAACGCCUAUACAACAUGCCCACAGGCUUAUGGUCUUCUCUCCAGUCCUCCUCACCUUCAGGCUGAAGAGCUGCAGAAAGUCAUGGCAUUUAUCCUGCAUUUUUCUCCAUUUGCCUUGCAAAUAAAUGCCGACAACACGAAAAAAAAAUAGUUGAAAUAAAAACACCCACAAAUAACAGCUUGUCUUUUCCCCCAAGGAGGUAGACAGAAUGAAAAUAAAUGAAGCCAUCAUUCUUUAUUGGAUGCUGGCAUGAAUCUUGA